rnacentral:rRNA from 1 species
CGAACGCUGGCGGCGUGCUUAACACAUGCAAGUCGAACGGAAAGGCCCUGCUUUUGUGGGGUGCUCGAGUGGCGAACGGGUGAGUAACACGUGAGUAACCUGCCCUUGACUUUGGGAUAACUUCAGGAAACUGGGGCUAAUACCGGAUAGGAGCUCCUGCUUCAUGGUGGGGGUUGGAAAGUUUCGGCGGUUGGGGAUGGACUCGCGGCUUAUCAGCUUGUUGGUGGGGUAGUGGCUUACCAAGGCUUUGACGGGUAGCCGGCCUGAGAGGGUGGCCGGCCACAUUGGGCCUGAGAUACGGCCCAGACUCCUACGGGAGGGAGCAGUGGGGAAUAUUGCACAAUGGGCGGAAGCCUGAUGCAGCAACGCCGCGUGCGGGAUGACGGCCUUGGGGUUGUAAACCGCUUUCGCCUGUGACGAAGCGUGAGUGACGGUAAUGGGUAAAGAAGCACCGGCUAACUACGUG